AUAACCCAUCAGCAUCCCAAUAUCCAACUUCGGCCCACACUCUGUCACCCUUAACUUCAUGUAAAGCCACCAGCCCACUACCCUUCUUUUACCCGAAACAACCCAACAAUAUCAACAUACACCAGCCGCCCCAGCCCAAAAAACCCAACUGAGCCUGUCCAAGUUCCCUUUCUCCUUAUAUCCCUUCUGCCGACAAAAACCAACAAAUAACUUCAGCCAGCACCCUUUAACAACAGUUUCAACGCAACAACAGCAACCAACGCAUCAAUAACAACAAUUUCAAUGCAAUAAUAGUACAACAACGGCAAAAUCAACUCAGCAAAUAAGCCAAUUCCAGGUCAAACUUAUCCCAAAUUUUGAAAUUUAAAUCUCAAUUCAUUUUUCCUUUUUACCCCUCCGUUUUCCCCAAGAAUAGUGUCAAAUCUCCUAUAAAUACUCAUGUAUGUAGAGUGAAGAGAAGGAGGAUUCUUUGGGGAAAAUUGGAAAUUUUAGAGAAGCAUUCCUCUAAUCCCACGUAACCGAAGAAUUCAAAAAGAUAACUUGAAAAGUUCAACGAACUUGUUUGAACUCGGUUGAGUUGAAUUAGAUUUUGAUGGUGGAAGCUUCAUCGUUAUAAGCUCGUCCGUCCGUAUUCCUGCCCGAAAAAAGAAAUAAGGUUGAUAUACGCUGAUAUAUAGUGAAAACUGAAGAUAUACACUGGAAAAACAUAGGUAUACACCAAUAUGUGGUGUAUAUGGAGAAGGGAGAUCAACAUGAAGGCUUUACACGCUGAUAUACAGAACCGGAAGAAAUUGAGCUGUGAUAUACAGCUGAUAUACACAGCUGAAAGAGGGUUGAAAAAGGGCCAUUUAAAUAGUACCAAAAUCAAUAUUGUCUGGAUUUGGAAAUGGGCUAAAAAGGGGCCCAAAUCCUAACUUCAAUUCUUGUAUUCAUUUUUGUAACUUAAUCUUUGUUUAUUUGUAUUAACUAACUUGUAAAUCAACUAAUCUAGACAAAUUCCCUUAAAGUGUUGUCAUUUCAUUUUA